rnacentral:rRNA from 1 species
AUUGAACGCUGGCGGCAUGCCUUACACAUGCAAGUCGAACGGCAGCACGGGUGCUUGCCCCUGGUGGCGAGUGGCGAACGGGUGAGUAUUACAUCGGAACAUGUCCUGUAUUGGGGUAUAGCCCGGCGAAAGCCGCAUUACUACCGCAUACGAUUCACUGAUGACAGCGGGGGCCCUUCGGGCCUCGCGCUUUACGGUUGGCCGAUGACUGAUUAGCUAGUUGGUGGGGUAAAGGCCUACCAAGGCGACGAUCAGUAGCUGGUCUGAGAGGACGACCAGCCACACUGGAACUGAGACACGGCCCAGACUCCUACGGGAGGCAGCAGUGGGGAAUUUUGGGCAAUGGGCGAAAGCCUGAUCCAGCAAUGCCGCGUGUGUGAAGAAGGCCUUCGGGUUGUAAAGCACUUUUGUCCGGGAAGAAAAAAUUGACUAUAAUACAGGCGGGGGAUGACGGUACCGGAAGAAUAAGCACCGGCUAACUACGUG